rnacentral:rRNA from 1 species
CAGCAGCCGCGGUAAUACGAAGGGUGCAAGCGUUAAUCGGAAUUACUGGGCGUAAAGCGUGCGUAGGCGGUUUGUUAAGUCUGUUGUGAAAUCCCCGGGCUCAACCUGGGAAUGGCAAUGGAUACUGGCAAGCUAGAGUGUGUCAGAGGAUGGUGGAAUUCCCGGUGUAGCGGUGAAAUGCGUAGAGAUCGGGAGGAACAUCAGUGGUGAAGGCGGCCAUCUGGGACAACACUGACGCUGAGGCACGAAAGCGUGGGGAGCAAACAGGAUUAGAUACCCCUGUAGUCCCUGUCUCUUAUAU